rnacentral:lncRNA from 1 species
GUACUUUUCUCCUUAUUUUGUAAUAAUUUUUUCGAAAUAAAAUGAAACUAUCAUCUCCUUGCAUUAUCCAACUUGAUCCCUAUGCAUGUCUUUCUUCUUUAUUCAUCUAGCAAUUUUUUUUAUAAAAUUAGCUAAGUAAUGAAGUCGAUAAUAAGACAAUGCAGUCAGUUGAAGAUGAUAGACCGAGCAAAUCACAAUCGAACUAAAAGAUUUGAUAAAAUCUUUCAAAUCUUGUAGUCAAUAAUAAAGCAAAAUAGUCGGUAGGGAGCAGCCAAACCGAGUAGGUGGGAGCCGAAUUAACGAACUUGAGAAAAUUCACAAAGUCGUGUGG